AUUGCUUGGAAAAGGUGCAUAAUAUCGUUCAUGAAAGAGUAAGACAUGCAGUGUAGCUAGAAUCCGUAGUACAGGACGCCUUUCUUCUCCCUUCCUUCACUUUGAACUGGUGGAGAUGACUCUGGUGGAGAUGCUUUGGGGAGGACAAUGGACGAGUGGAGAGCACUAAGUCCAUCAUUCUUGUGAGCCACCAUCCAUGCAAAUACAAAGAUCUCCUUGGACUGCAUCUGCCAGUGGAACCUUUAGGAAGUGAGGCCUCGAGGGAGGUGCUGUGGAGCGCCAGUCUCUUCCUGUUUCCUUUUUACUUCCUGGCUCCUGCAGUGAGAGUUCUGCCCUGCCACACAUUCCCACCUGCCAUCAUGCUGCCUCGCCAGGGACGCAAAGCGGUAAAGCUACAUUGCCAUGGACUAGAACCUCUGCAACGGCGAGCCAUAAUAAACCUUUCUCUUUGUGAGUUAAUUGCUCUGGAUUUUUUUAAAAUGACAGGAAGCUGAUUAGUAUAAUCUGGUUAAAAUAAAUGCAACCAAAUGAGCUGGGAGUGAAGAGAACAGAACAAAGGAAAGCUCAAAAUCGGGAUGAAGCUCAUUCUGGAGGCUGGAAAGACAAUGAGCUUUGGGGGCAGCGGGUAGGUGAAGGGAAAGAAUGUGUUCUAGGGAAACAGAUAAAAAGUCUGCAGAGAAGACCUCACUGCUGAAUGAAUUCCUGGCAACUGUUUGCUUUACCCAAGUCUUAAAAUAUUAGGUCAAGGGGGUAGAAUGUUUGUUUUAAAGACAAGAUUAAUAGUGCUUAUUGCCUCAUGAAACACAGCUUAGACUUGUGCUAGAAAAGCCAACAAGUUAUGGACGGUUAUGAUUGGAAGAAUAUUGUAAGGAC
rnacentral:lncRNA from 1 species